rnacentral:rRNA from 1 species
UACAGAGGUCUCACGCGUUGUUCGGAUUCAUUGGGCGUAAAGGGUGCGUAGGUGGCGGGGUAAGUCAGGUGUGAAAUUUCGGAGCUCAACUCCGAAACUGCAUUUGAUACUGCCGUGCUUGAGGACUGGAGAGGAGACUGGAAUUUACGGUGUAGCGGUGAAAUGCGUAGAUAUCGUAAGGAAGACCAGUGGCGAAGGCGGGUCUCUGGACAGUUCCUGACGCUGAGGCACGAAGGCCAGGGGAGCAAACGGG